rnacentral:rRNA from 1 species
UUCCAGACUCCUACGGGAGGCAGCAGUGAGGAAUAUUGGUCAAUGGCCGGAAGGCUGAACCAGCCAAGUCGCGUGAGGGACGACUGCCCUAUGGGUUGUAAACCUCUUUUAUAAGGGAAGAAUAAAUGCUACGUGUAGCAUGAUGCCUGUACCUUAUGAAUAAGCAUCGGCUAACUCCGUGCCAGCAGCCGCGGUAAUACGGAGGAUGCGAGCGUUAUCCGGAUUUAUUGGGUUUAAAGGGUGCGUAGGCGGUUUUUUAAGUUAGUGGUUAAACGUCGGGGCUUCACCUUGAUUUGCCAUUAAUACUGUAAGACUCGAGUUCAGACGAGGUAGGCGGAAUAAGUUAAGUAGCGGUGAAAUGCAUAGAUAUCACGCAGAACUCCGAUUGCGAAGGCAGCAUACCGGCGCCCGACUGACGCUGAGGCACGAAAGCGUGGGGAUCGAACAGGAUUAGAUACCCUUGUAA